rnacentral:rRNA from 1 species
GCAGAAGAAGCGCCGGGUAACUACGUGCCAGCAGCCGCGGUAAUACGUAGGGCGCAAGCGUUAUCCGGAUUUAUUGGGCGUAAAGAGCUCGUAGGCGGUUUGUCGCGUCUGCCGUGAAAGUCCGAGGCUCAACCUCGGAUCUGCGGUGGGUACGGGCAGACUAGAGUGAUGUAGGGGAGACUGGAAUUCCUGGUGUAGCGGUGAAAUGCGCAGAUAUCAGGAGGAACACCGAUGGCGAAGGCAGGUCUCUGGGCAUUUACUGACGCUGAGGAGCGAAAGCAUGGGGAGCGAACAGGAUUAGAUACCCUGGUAGUCCAUGCCGUAAACGUUGGGCACUAGGUGUGGGGGACAUUCCACGUUUUUCCGCGCCGUAGCUAACGCAUUAAGUGCCCCGCCUGGGGAGUACGGCCGCAAGGCUAAAACUCAAAGGAAUUGACGGGGGCCCGCACAAGCGGCGGAGCAUGCGGAUUAAUUCGAUGCAACGCGAAGAACCUUACCAAGGCUUGACAUGUGCCAGACCGCCUCAGAGAUGGGGUUUCCCUUCGGGGCUGGUUCACAGGUGGUGCAUGGUUGUCGUCAGCUCGUGUCGUGAGAUGUUGGGUUAAGUCCCGCAACGAGCGCAACCCUCGUUCCAUGUUGCCAGCACGUAAAGGUGGGGACUCAUGGGAGACUGCCGGGGUCAACUCGGAGGAAGGUGGGGAUGACGUCAAAUCAUCAUGCCCCUUAUGUCUUGGGCUUCACGCAUGCUACAAUGGCCGGUACAAUGGGUUGCGAUACUGUGAGGUGGAGCUAAUCCCUAAA